rnacentral:misc_RNA from 1 species
GAAAUGCGAUAAGUAAUGUGAAUUGCAGAAUUCAGUGAAUCAUCGAAUCUUUGAACGCACAUUGCGCCCGCAAGUAUUCUGGCGGGCAUGCCUGUCCGAGCGUCAUUUCAACCAUCAAGCCCCCGGGCUUGUGUUGGGGACCUGCGGCUGCCCGCAGGCCCUGAAAACCAGUGGCGGGCUCGCUGUCACACCGAGCGUAGUAGCAAUCACCUCGCUCAGGGCGUGCUGCGGGUUCCGGCCGUUAAACAGCCUUACAAAACCCAAGGUUGACCUCGGAUCAGGUAGGAAGACCCGCUGAACUUAAGC